AACCUUUUGUUCAUCAGUUUGAUGAUUGGGCCUUUGUGUGACACGAGUCUCCCUCAAACCUCAUUACAACUCGGCAUAUUACCCAUCUGACG
rnacentral:snoRNA from 1 species